CCCUUGCAUACAGGCAUCCGACAACAGGUUUGUUCCGAUCAGGUAUUUACGGUCGACCACGUGUCCCCUACUGCAUCACGUGUUUCAUUAGAUGCCGAUCGAUGCCGAUUAGAUGCCGAUGUAAUCGAGGCGAUCGUAGAAUCUUCCGUUUCAUUCUGCAUACUAAGUGAAGACAAGAUCGUCUGACGAACAGAAAGGUAUUGUAAAAUGUUCAAAUUACACCCUAUGGUCACCUGUGCAACUCGAAGAAGGACCAUGCGGGCUGCCGUAACCAACGCAUCAUCAUCAGCGGAAUUCUUUGAAGCUUCAUCGGCAACCUUGGGCGGCAGCCCAAGGUCGGGAUGGCUGCCUCUAUAUUUAUCAUUGCGUUGACCCAACGUAAUAACAGUGUUUGUAGCUCGCACGGCCAACACCAUGGGAUAUGAACAGAGUACUGAAAACAAAAAAACAAAAAAAAGUGACGUACAGAACAAAGGUAAGGGAUUGUGACGAAAUAAAAACCAAUAAACUGGA